rnacentral:lncRNA from 7 species
GUUGUUGCCCAGCUUUGCAGGUCCCUUACUUGCCCAGUUGAACAUGUAGCCACGUGGCAGGUCCCUUCUAGCACCACAGCCUCCAUGUGGAUCCCAGUAACAGAAGUUCCAGACAGACUGCGGUUGGCAGUCCUCAGUGCCCACCUGUUUCUGCACCCUGCAUAGAAGAAAGCCAAGCCCUGGAACAGAGCCAGUCCUGUGCCUCUGUACACCUGCCCGAAGGAGCUCUUCCAUGGUGAGAAACUGCACUGAAGAUCCUAUGUGGUGAAGCUUUGAUUCCCUCCUUUCUUUCAGGUCCUGGAGUAUCUAGCUGGUGACCCACGAAGCACUGACAUGUUCCAGGCAGUGUGGCUGCUCUCUCAAUUCUAAGUGGGGAACAAACGUGGCCUACCUGCAGAGAUGCUCAAUGUGGUCUGCACUUCUCCAGCAAAAACCUCAUUCUUUCCUGGUUUUCUUUAUAUUUUAAACGAAUGAGGAGUUUGAUGUGGAGAUGAGGAACAGAAAGAAUGGGGCAGAAGGAUGAGGGCCUUUUCAAAUAGUAAAGCUU